CCCAAGCAAAACAAAGCAAGAAAAAUCACCCUCCACUAGCGGCUUUAGCCGCAUUAAGAAAGUUUCCUCUCACAAUAGCAGCUGCAAAGUUGGCUGAUAGAUCGACUGGUAUUUGUGGCUAAAAUUCACAUAUUUAAAGCUGAAAUAAUGAAUGCGCCGAUUAUUCUACCACCACCGCUCCGCUCCCGAAAAAAUCCCACCCAAACAAACAGCGAACGGGCUCUGUCCGCCUCCGCGAAGCCCGAGCAUAACCAGAGCAUCGGCAGCAGCGGAGCGGGGCUUGGCUUUUGUCUCCCUACGCCUUCUUCCUUUCCUUCCAAACUUUUGGACGCUCUCUCCUAGCUGUAUUUAUAGACCUGGAGCACACGGCUGUAUUUUUCCUUAUGCCUCUUUUGGCUUGGGCUUAAGUCACCGGCGGGGAAAAUAAAAAAAAAAAAAAAAAAAAAGGAGGCAGGCAGGCAGGCAGGCAGACAAACGGGAGGACAGAAGGGGGGAAAGCUGAAAGUCCCGCAGGCGGGACGCGAAGGGAGGCUGGGGCAGGCGGCCGGAGAUGCGGGACUCCCUUGCUUCUAAUAGGCGAUAGAGAGGUAGGGGUGAAAGUCCGGCCCCGGCCUCCUGCGUGGGGAAAGGAAAGCCUCUUGCACCCGGGAAAGGGACAGGCCGGGACUGCCGCCCCAUCCCGAUGCAGAGGAGCCGAAUGAAGAACUUGUGUUUGUGUCCGGAGGAGGGGAGUGGGCGGCGGGAGAAGGAGAGGGGGGCACACACGACACAAAGUUUGUGUCGUAGAACCAGAUGAAAACCAGGUAAGUACGAGGGGAGCAAGGCUGCCGUCCAGUGCCGGCGAGACUGGAGAGCCGGAGCUCCGACCCGUCUGGCUGCGGCGGGCGGCGGCCCCGGGGGUUGGCCGCUGGCGGGGAUGCUAGGGCUGGCGGGACGGCGUAGCUGAGCCGGGAUGCUCGAGGGCUGUGGCCGGAGCCGCGGGGCAGAGUGGCAGCGUGCCCCGGCGCAGCGCAGCUCUUGGCGAGGACGGGCGCCGGGGAACAACGCUGCUCCGCUGGGCGACCGCCGGCUCUUGUUAAUACGUCGUCUCUACAGUGCUUUAAAGAUUCAAAUCCAAAAACAAACCCCAAGCCGCUCACGAAAAUAGGGAAGCACGCUUACUGGAAAAGAGGAAAGCUUCUCCUGCUUGCAGAAAAAGUGAUUGAGGGAUUAAAAACGUGGGUGUCAGGGGUUUUGAUGUUGUUGUUUUGCUUUUAUUUUCUCCUACAAUCUGCAGCUAAAGAAGUUCUCUUUUCCCGCACGGUGGAUGCUGAAAGUCUCUAACCAAAUAUCUCAGUAACGUGGAUGGUGUAAUUAUCAUGUUGUUAGGCAUCCCCUUAUUGACGUGCACCACACUUAGCGUCUGAUCUCCCAAAUAUACGUCAAAGCAGUUUCUCAGUUUCUGACAUGUUUAGAGAGCAGGUAUAUUUUGUCCGCACUUGCUGAACAGUUUCAGGGAGUUCCGUAUGCACUUGAUAAACAGCACUAAAAAUGUGAAUCCGAUUCAAACAUCACUUCAAAUAGCCCUAUUCCCCCCUCUUCCCCCUCCUUACUCCUCCCUUCCCAGUUGCAGUUCUGCAGCCACUGUUGCGGUUACAGUGUACUGUAAAGUGCGUUUAAAUGUUCUUCAACCCUGCCCCCUUCCAUCCCGCGUCCGCCGAGGAGUUCCAGAUGACGUUACUUCUGUGUACAUUUUAAAAACCUGUCUCGGUAUUUAGCUACAAACCGUCCAACCUAGAUGCAAGUAAUGUUAUAAAGGGACAUGACAAAGUAGAAGAGAAGGGAAGGGAAAGGGAGAUAGGCACUUCUGUGAAAUGAUGCUUCCUUAAGAGAGAAUUACAUUGAUCAAGACUUUAAAAGCUAGUAUCCUUGAGGUCAUAAUGCUGUACACAUUUCUGUGCAUGCACGGGUAUAGUCUGAGGUGUAGGAGUUAUUACAGGAGUUUUGAAUUUCCUGGCUGCAGAUUUAGAAAGUUCUUUUAUCAGUUGCGUCUGGACACACGAAUGCAUUAGCAAAACCACUGCAUUGAAUCAAGUGCCUGAACGUUGCGAUCUUCUUCACAGGAUUUUCUGUACCACCAGAGUAUAGCCGGGCAGGAUGCCCUCCUUGGCCAGAGGCCAGUGGCUGAACGAAGUCAAGUGAAUAAAAUAAGAGCAAAGUAGGGUUCUUUGCAAAACGAGGGUGAAAUGUACGUACAGGGAGCAUCUAGAAAAGAAAAAAAUCCGAGUUUUGUAGCUCCAAAUCAUUACAUUCUCAGCAACAGAACACCGUCAUUAUUCAGGAACGAAAGGGGAAAAAUCCUGGUCAUAUAGUGAUUAUUGUUACGACAAGGACCAAUAACGUCUUUGUUAUAAAAACAGUGUUUGUUAUGAAGAAAUUGGCUGAGCAGCCAUCCAGAUAAAUAUGCCCUGUGCCUAACAA